GAUUGGCGAUUCGUUGGAUACCGACCGAGUUAUAGGCAAAAGUUGGUGCAAAAAUGAAGAAAAUUUUACAUUUUUUCAAACUGGGUAUGGAACUUGGUUCCUCGAAUAACUUCUGGCACAGACAUCUGAGGGCAUGGCUGUCCAAGAAGAAAAUGUAGCCAUUGAUGCCAUCUAUCGACCACAGGUUAAAGAUUGUCGAUCCGUUGGAUAUCGACCAAGUUAUAGGCAAAAUUUGGUGCAAAAAUGAGCCUUAAUAAAUUUUCUUUGUUUUGAAUUAUUGGAUUUUUUCAUUAAUUUUCACUCUUUUGUUUAUUUAAAACAUUAUUUGAGUGAAAAGUAACUCAUUGCAACCAAUUGGCAUUAAAAUAAAUCAAUUUAAAUUUUUUUGCAAAAUUUCCCAAAAAAAUCGUAAGGGGUAAGCCUUAUGAAAUUUUCGAGUUGAAAUUUUUUUUAAAAUUUUUUUCUGAUUUUUUAUUCUUUUUUUAAUUUAAAGCAUUAUUUGAGUGAAAAGAAACUUAUUGCAACAAAUGCCCAUUAAAAUAUAUCACAUUUAAAAAUUUUGCUUCAUUGCUCAAAAAUGAGGAAAAUUUUACAUUUUCUCAAACAGGGUAAGGAACUUUGUUCCUGGAAUAACUUCUGGCACAGACAUCUGAGGGCAUGGCCGUCCAAGAAGAAAAUGUAGCCAUUGAUGCCAUCUAUCGACCACAGGUUAAAGAUUGGCGAUUCGUUGGAUACCGACCGAGUUAUAGGCAAAAUUUGGUGCAAAAAUGAGGAAAAUUUUACAUUUUCUCAAACAGCGUAAGGAACUUUGUUCCUGGAAUAACUUCUGGCACAGACAUCUGAGGGUAUGGCCGUCCAACAAGAAAAUGUAGCCAUUGAUGCCAUCUAUCGACCACAAGUUAAAGAUUGGCGAUUCGUUGGAUACCGACCGAGUUAUAGGCAAAAGUUGGUGUAAAAAUGAAGAAAAUUUUACAUUUUCUCAAACAGGGUAUGGAACUUGGUUCCUCGAAUAACUUCUGGCACAGACAUCUGAGGGCAUGGCCGUCCAAGAAGAAAAUGUAGCCAUUGAUGCCAUCUAUCGACCACAGGUUAAAGAUUGGCGAUUCGUUGGAUACCGACCGAGUUAUAGGCAAAAUUUGGUGCAAAAAUGAGGAAAAUUUUACAUUUUCUCAAACUGGGUAUGGAACUUGGUUCCUCGAAUAACUUCUGGCACAGACAUCUGAGGGCAUGGCCGUCCAAGAAGAAAAUGUAGCCAUUGAUGCCAUCUAUCGACCACAGGUUAAAGAUUGGCGAUUCGUUGGAUACCGACCGAGUUAUAGGCAAAAUUUGGUGCAAAAAUGAGGAAAAUUUUACAUUUUCUUAUACUGGGUAUGGAACUUGGUUCCUCGAAUAACUUCUGGCACAGACAUCUGAGGGCAUGGCCGUCCAAGAAGAAAAUGUAGCCAUUGAUGCCAUCUAUCGACCACAGGUUAAAGAUUGGCGAUUCGUUGGAUACCGACCGAGUUAUAGGCAAAAUUUGGUGCAAAAAUGAGGAAAAUUUUACAUUUUCUCAAACAGCGUAAGGAACUUUGUUCCUGGAAUAACUUCUGGCACAGACAUCUGAGGGUAUGGCCGUCCAAGAACAAAAUGUAGCCAUUGAUGCCAUCUAUCGACCACAGGUUAAAGAUUGGCGAUUCGUUGGAUACCGACCGAGUUAUAGGCAAAAUUUGGUGCAAAAAUGAGGAAAAUUUUACAUUUUCUCAAACAGCGUAAGGAACUUUGUUCCUGGAAUAACUUCUGGCACAGACAUCUGAGGGUAUGGCCGUCCAAGAACAAAAUGUAGCCAUUGAUGCCAUCUAUCGACCACAGGUUAAAGAUUGGCGAUUCGUUGGAUACCGACCGAGUUAUAGGCAAAAGUUGGUGUAAAAAUGAAGAAAAUUUUACAUUUUCUCAAACAGGGUAUGGAACUUGGUUCCUCGAAUAACUUCUGGCACAGACAUCUGAGGGUAUGGCCGUCCAACAAGAAAAUGUAGCCAUUGAUGCCAUCUAUCGACCACAGGUUAAAGAUUGUCGAUCCGUUGGAUAUCGACCAAGUUAUAGGCAAAAUUUGGUGCAAAAAUGAGCCUUAAUAAAUUUUCUUUGUUUUGAAUUAUUGGAUUUUUUCAUUAAUUUUCACUCUUUUUUUUAUUUAAAACAUUAUUUGAGUGAAAAGUAACUCAUUGCAACCAAUUGGCAUUAAAAUAAAUCAAUUUAAAUUUUUUUGCAAAAUUUCCCAAAAAAAUCGUAAGGGGUAAGCCUUAUGAAAUUUUCGAGUUGAAAUUUUUUUUAAAAUUUUUUUCUGAUUUUUUAUUCUUUUUUUAAUUUAAAGCAUUAUUUGAGUGAAAAGAAACUUAUUGCAACAAAUGCCCAUUAAAAUAUAUCACAUUUAAAAAUUUUGCUACAUUGCUCAAAAAUGAGGAAAAUUUUACAUUUUCUCAAACAGGGUAAGGAACUUUGUUCCUGGAAUAACUUCUGGCACAGACAUCUGAGAGCAUGGCCGUCCAAGAAGAAAAUGUAGCCAUUGAUGCCAUCUAUCGACCACAGGUUAAAGAUUGGCGAUUCGUUGGAUACCGACCGAGUUAUAGGCAAAAUUUGGUGCAAAAAUGAGGAAAAUUUUACAUUUUCUCAAACAGCGUAAGGAACUUUGUUCCUGGAAUAACUUCUGGCACAGACAUCUGAGGGUAUGGCCGUCCAAGAACAAAAUGUAGCCAUUGAUGCCAUCUAUCGACCACAGGUUAAAGAUUGGCGAUUCGUUGGAUACCGACCGAGUUAUAGGCAAAAGUUGGUGUAAAAAUGAAGAAAAUUUUACAUUUUCUCAAACAGGGUAUGGAACUUGGUUCCUCGAAUAACUUCUGGCACAGACAUCUGAGGGCAUGGCCGUCCAAGAAGAAAAUGUAGCCAUUGAUGCCAUCUAUCGACCACAGGUUAAAGAUUGGCGAUUCGUUGGAUACCGACCGAGUUAUAGGCAAAAUUUGGUGCAAAAAUGAGGAAAAUUUUACAUUUUCUCAAACUGGGUAUGGAACUUGGUUCCUCGAAUAACUUCUGGCACAGACAUCUGAGGGCAUGGCCGUCCAAGAAGAAAAUGUAGCCAUUGAUGCCAUCUAUCGACCACAGGUUAAAGAUUGGCGAUUCGUUGGAUACCGACCGAGUUAUAGGCAAAAUUUGGUGCAAAAAUGAGGAAAAUUUUACAUUUUCUCAAACAGCGUAAGGAACUUUGUUCCUGGAAUAACUUCUGGCACAGACAUCUGAGGGUAUGGCCGUCCAAGAACAAAAUGUAGCCAUUGAUGCCAUCUAUCGACCACAGGUUAAAGAUUGGCGAUUCGUUGGAUACCGACCGAGUUAUAGGCAAAAUUUGGUGCAAAAAUGAGGAAAAUUUUACAUUUUCUCAAACAGCGUAAGGAACUUUGUUCCUGGAAUAACUUCUGGCACAGACAUCUGAGGGUAUGGCCGUCCAAGAAGAAAAUGUAGCCAUUGAUGCCAUCUAUCGACCACAGGUUAAAGAUUGGCGAUUCGUUGGAUACCGACCGAGUUAUAGGCAAAAUUUGGUGCAAAAAUGAGGAAAAUUUUACAUUUUCUCAAACAGGGUAUGGAACUUGGUUCCUCGAAUAACUUCUGGCACAGACAUCUGAGGGUAUGGCCGUCCAACAAGAAAAUGUAGCCAUUGAUGCCAUCUAUCGACCACAGGUUAAAGAUUGUCGAUCCGUUGGAUAUCGACCAAGUUAUAGGCAAAAUUUGGUGCAAAAAUGAGCCUUAAUAAAUUUUCUUUGUUUUGAAUUAUUGGAUUUUUUCAUUAAUUUUCACUCUUUUUUUUAUUUAAAACAUUAUUUGAGUGAAAAGUAACUCAUUGCAACCAAUUGGCAUUAAAAUAAAUCAAUUUAAUUUUUUUUGCAAAAUUUCCCAAAAAAAUCGUAAGGGGUAAGCCUUAUGAAAUUUUCGAGUUGAAAAUUUUUUUAAAAUUUUUUUCUGAUUUUUUAUUCUUUUUUUAAUUUAAAGCAUUAUUUGAGUGAAAAGAAACUUAUUGCAACAAAUUCCCAUUAAAAUAUAUCACAUUUAAAAAUUUUGCUACAUUGCUCAAAAAUGAGGAAAAUUUUACAUUUUCUCAAACAGGGUAAGGAACUUUGUUCCUGGAAUAACUUCUGGCACAGACAUCUGAGGGCAUGGCCGUCCAAGAAGAAAAUGUAGCCAUUGAUGCCAUCUAUCGACCACAGGUUAAAGAUUGGCGAUUCGUUGGAUACCGACCAAGUUAUAGGCAAAAUUUGGUGCAAAAAUGAGGAAAAUUUUACAUUUUCUCAAACAGGGUAAGGAACUUUGUUCCUGGAAUAACUUCUGGCACAGACAUCUGAGGGCAUGGCCGUCCAAGAAGAAAAUGUAGCCAUUGAUGCCAUCUAUCGACCACAGGUUAAAGAUUGUCGAUCCGUUGGAUAUCGACCAAGUUAUAGGCAAAAUUUGGUGCAAAAAUGAGGAAAAUUUUACAUUUUCUCAAACAGCGUAAGGAAUUUUGUUCCUGGAAUAACUUCUGGCACAGACAUCUGAUGGCAUGGCCGUCCAAGAAGAAAAUGUAGCCAUUGAUGCCAUCUAUCGACCACAGGUUAAAGAUUGUCGAUCCGUUGGAUAUCGACCAAGUUAUAGGCAAAAUUUGGUGCAAAAAUGAGCCUUAAUAAAUUUUCUUUGUUUUGAAUUAUUGGAUUUUUUCAUUAAUUUUCACUCUUUUUUUUAUUUAAAACAUUAUUUGAGUGAAAAGUAACUCAUUGCAACCAAUUGGCAUUAAAAUAAAUCAAUUUAAAUUUUUUUGCAAAAUUUCCCAAAAAAAUCGUAAGGGGUAAGCCUUAUGAAAUUUUCGAGUUGAAAAUUUUUUUAAAAUUUUUUUCUGAUUUUUUAUUCUUUUUUUAAUUUAAAACAUUAUUUGAGUGAAAAGAAACUUAUUGCAACAAAUUCCUAUUAAAAUAUAUCACAUUUAAAAAUUUUGUUACAUUGCUCAAAAAUGAGGAAAAUUUUACAUUUUCACAAACAGGGUAUGGAACUUGGUUCCACGAAUAACUUCUGGCACAGACAUCUGAGGGCAUGGCCGUCCAAGAAGAAAAUGUAGCCAUUGAUGCCAUCUAUCGACCACAAGUUAAAGAUUGGCGAUUCGUUGGAUACCGACCGAGUUAUAGGCAAAAGUUGGUGUAAAAAUGAAGAAAAUUUUACAUUUUCUCAAACAGGGUAUGGAACUUGGUUCCUCGAAUAACUUCUGGCACAGACAUCUGAGGGCAUGGCCGUCCAAGAAGAAAAUGUAGCCAUUGAUGCCAUCUAUCGACCACAGGUUAAAGAUUGGCGAUUCGUUGGAUACCGACCGAGUUAUAGGCAAAAGUUGGUCUUAAUUGGUCAAAAAUGAGGCAAAUUUAUAAUUUUUUUAUUUUUUUUAAAGUUAUUUAAUUCUUAUUUUUAUUUAAAGCAUUGUUUGAGUGAAAAGAAACCUGUUGUAACAAUUUCGCAUUAAAAUAAAACAAUUUUUUUAAUUUUUUCUAAAUUGCUCCAAAUUGGCAAGGGGUAAGCCUUAUGAAAUUUUCGAGUUGAAAUAUUUUUUGUAUUUUUUUGUUAUUUUUUAUUCUUUUCUUCUUUUAAAGCAUUAUUUGAGUGAAAAGAAACUUAUUGCAGCAUUAAAAUAAAAUAAAUUUUUAAAGUUUGCUAAAUUUCCCAAAAAAAGGUAAGGCUAUAGCCUUGGGAAAUUUUCAAAUUUAUACUUAGUCGCACAUUUUCACUUCAACUCACGUAUUUACACUUUUUGCGACUCGACUCACCACGGCUACAUGCUUACACUCAUGAGUGAGUAAGUGAAAAAAGAGUCACCUAAACUCCUCGUGGUGAAUGAACGAAACUCGAUCAAUACAACGUUUCAACUCACUAUCUCACUCUUACUCACUUUGCACAUCUCUAGUUUGUUGCACGUAUGGACCAGCAUCAAAUCCUGUCCGAUGUGUUCUCCUAUGUGUAGUUAGCUAAAAAUCAAGGAAAGCCAGAAUUGCUACACCACCUGCAUGACAUUUAGUGCCUCAAAGAGUAGAACAGAGUAAUUCCUCGCAUAUAUUGAUAAGUUGGAUAAGUCGCUGCCAAUUGUAAGCAAAAUAUCGAUCCUUUGCAUUAGUAAAAUUUGACAUUUGUUGAGCAGUAUUUUUCCAUUUGCGAUGUAUACGUCAACCUGUGUUCUUUUCAUAUUCAAGAUGCUCGUUUCAUUGAGUUUUUUUUUCCCAACUUCCAUUGCAACAACAGAUUAUUCUGCGACAAAAAACGCAUUCGACGCGAAAGCAACACAUCUUUUUAACGAUUUUAUCCGUCCGGUUUUUUGUUGUUGUUUUGUUUUGUUGAAGUUUUGAGUCAGGAUUUUAUUGAUGGUGUUAGCCUUACGAUAAAAACCAUUCUGUUUGUGCGCACUCCUUUUUUAUAUCUAAAAUUUGUGUGCGUGUGUGUGUCUGUCUGUGUUAUUUCAACAUUCGUGUGUUUAUAUAUUUUCUGCUUCUGGUUUAUUGUAGCUGUUUGUACUUUACACACUUGGUAACAACGCGGGCAACGGGUUUUGUAUGGUGAUCACACCGUCCCGAUGAUGAAACAAAAUGUAUGCAAGGUUUAUUUAGUUGAAAGUUUUGUAAUGCAAAAAUGGAAUGAAACAAAAAAAUAACAUUCACAUACACAACAAGUACAAUAAAUUGGCAUUUCAGGGGCAUUGUAUGGAAGGGAAUGUGGACGGGCGGGAGGGCUGGUGAGCUAAAGCACGGAAAGUACGAUGCGAUUGUGUUGGGCAAAAGGUUUCCAGAGAAGAAAAACGCAAACAGCACACCACAGACAGACACAUUCGUGUAUGAUACGGUUGUGGUACAUACAUACGUAUAGAUACUACGCAUAGAGCAUAACGCGAUGAAACCUGGCAAAGUAACGAACAGUAAAAGGAAAGAUGAAAAUGGGGGGAGUUCGGUUGCUGCAAGGGGGAAGAAAAUGCAAAUCUACAUACCAGUCGCAAUGCAACAUCUCCAUAGUCGUCAAUGUACGGCCAAUGCUUCGCCGGUCGUUUCUUGAAGCGGUCUAGAAUAUCUUGUUUUUCGCAUCUGAUGCUGAGCGUUUCAAAUACGUACAUCUUGUAACAGUGAGUUUCUCAGCACUGAUCGAACCAAAUGUGCGUCCGU